UGAGAACACUGGUGAUGCUGGGGUCAGUGAGAACACAGGUGAUGCUGGGGUCAGUGAGAACACAGGUGAUGCUGGGGUCAGUGAGAACACAGGUGAUGCUGGGGUCAGUGAGAACACAGGUGAUGCUGGGGUCAGUGAGAACACAGGUGAUGCUGGGGUCAGUGAGAACACAGGUGAUGCUGGGGUCAGUGAGAACACAGGUGAUGCUGGGGUCAGUGAGAACACGG